rnacentral:misc_RNA from 1 species
UAGAAUCUAGUAUAGAGGAGGAUGGUAAAAGAGAAGAUCUAAGUAGCCAGAAUUCAGGUUUUGACGGCAAUAAUGCCCCUCAGAAUGCAAUUGGCUUGAAUAACGAAGAUGGAUCAGAAAAGGAUACAAAAACUCACAAGAUCCAGAUAUGGACUGAAAUUAGACCAUCACUCCGAGCAAUUGAAGAUAUGAUGAGUGUUCGUGUAAAGAAAAAGAAA